AACAGUUCACGAAGCAGCAUCGAACAUCUAUAAGAAAAGUGCGGACACUGUACCAGCUUCGAAGGAGAGUGUGCAGUUUCACUCGCUGCCUCGUAAAAAUGGUGCAGGCGUUUUUUUGGUGUAAUUCCGUUUAUAAUGACCGAAGGUAAUUGUGAAAGAAAUUGGACUCUCGACUGAGAUCGUGACAAGUGUAAUAACAACAAAUAAUUAUAUGCACGGCUUGAAAUACAACGGUAACAGGAAGGUGAUUCGAAGGGGUCGUAAUAACAUAAAAUGAGACUGAAAAUAUUGCAAUGAUAAUCACAGCUGCAGAGUAAAUAAAUACGUAAACCGAAGAAUGGAGGAAAACAUCAGACGAUUACGUGUUCGAGCAAUGACGCAACAUCGCAUUCGUAACGCGCGCGCGCGAAGCAAUGAAAGAUGAGCCCGCGCUUACAGGCGUCGAUUAACCUUCAACUCACGGAAGCGUGCACCCAGCAGCGCUAUAAGAAUAUCAUUGACUUAAGCAUGCUUGCGAUAUUUCAGCCUACCAAAAAGUGUAUGUCGACUAUAUGGACCCAAGGAAAAGUUCUCCCUACAGCGACGGAGUCGGCGAACUAGGAGGAUAAAAAAUCAAGAGAACCGAAGGAGACAGAGGAAAAUACGGAGAGUAUCACAACGGAGGUAAGGAUUGAAGAAAGAAGAAAAGAGAGCUAAACAGAAGAGAGAUCGUCGUCGUUUUUUUUUGCUCCAUUUUCUUUUGCUCGUUCGCGCGGGCAGCUGCGCGUCAUCGGCAACACCUGCCGAUGGGCCACGUGUUGCUGAAAAUGAAGACGAAAUAUACGAAGCGAAAAAUACAGCAGACACAAACCACGAAGGUGGAGAUGGAAUUUGACCAGAGAAGAACGGUGUGCACGGGAAGUAGAGGCAAGCAAUUGACCCCGGAUAAGACUCCCACUUAAAAGAAAUGGCCGAUAUGUGCCCGAACUGCAUCAAGAGGAUACAAGUAUACGUGCUUUGAAAACGAGGAACACCAGAACCGUAGAUUAUCGUAAAAACGAACGAUCAUUUUACUAUACCAUUCUUUUCUUUCGAUUAUGUAUCUGGUGUGAAUACAUUUAUAAGGCACAAUCGUGAUAUCCGAUUAAUCGAAAUUUCAUUUAAUCGUAUAUAUACUCAUAUUGAGAUUAAACUCCUUAGAAGGAUGGGACUCGAGCUUGCUGAAUCGACAUCUUCAACAGUGGUGAACUUUCUCAUCGCAAACAAUGAUGGCGAUGGAAUGGCUAAUAGAUUUCCUUCGUAAACGAAAAUGAGUUUGACUGCUUCGAGUCAAAGAGUCUUGGGUCUCCAUCGAAAGAGUUUCGAAUAAGAUUCGCAUUCUUGUUUGAAUACUCACACUGAUAUAGUGUUGAUAAAAAUACUCCUGAACGUCCUCAGGCGUAAAAUCUACUCGUAAUUUCUAUAAACAGUAGAGCUUGGAAGCCUAGAAACGAAGAGUGAGAAGAAUAUAUACUGCAUUGUCCUUUCACUUCUCAAACGAUAAGUAGUAUGCAUGAUGCACUUCUCGAUGGUUCAACUCCGAAAACAUUUUUUUCCUGCUACACAUAGCUACGAUUUGUGCAACGAAUUCGGACCAGCUGUCAAAGCAGUUGCCAAGAGACGCAACUGUGUCACGACAAAGAUACAGAUUCAGCUUGAAAAAUGUGAACCAGCAGCCCAAAAGAGAGAGAGAGAGAGAAAAAAAAAUCCGCAGCAGUACCCUAAAUAAUAACAAUAUCGAAAAGGAUCGGAAAGGUGCACAGUAGAGUAGUUUUUGGAGGGCUCGCCGCGCCAUUAUUGGCUCCAUCAGUCCCGGAAGAGCUGCACGGACCGAUUACGCGUGCGACCAUUUCAGUCAUUCAGGAAAAUCGAACGUGCACAUUAACGCUGACGAGGGAGUCCGUCAUUUUUCACAAACUUCAUAGAAAGUAAUUCUGAAAAAAAACCGACGACAGAGGGUCAGCGGUCUUGAAGGGAUUUCCUUUGAAAAAUAACAUACAGCAAAAUGGCUGAUUGUGCCUGCGGCCACAUCGAAUUUGAAGGAAUUCUUCGUGAAACGGCACUUGGACUGAAUAAAGGUUAUGAACGACAAAUGAAUAGUAAAAAAAAGUUGCGACACGUGUUAGCAAUCCGAAUGAUGAAUUGUGGUCGAAAAUCUACCAUGGCUUUGAUCAUUUUUACUUUUUUUUUUACAUAUAAAACGUUCACACUUUCAGUGAUCGCGCUGAACCGUCAUUCGAAUGGUCAUGCGGUCAUCGAUACGGUUUUUUCGCGGUCAGGAAAAAAAGCAAAUAUGUGCGUGCCGUUGAACAGUAGGCUUGUGAAAUGUGUUAUGAAAAUUUCAAAAUUUCCUGCUCAAUUAGCUCCAUUUUCGAUGUUAAGAGUAUGGAUCAGUCGACUGCUCACUUGGAAUUUUCAAAAUCAAAAUUAGCAGCUAUCUCUCUGACACUCGCCGUUGCGAUACGCCAACUGAUCCAUCGUCUUAAGAGCAUUGUACAUAUUUUUUCAUGCUCGAACCAUCUCUAUUAAUUAUCAUUCUUUUUUCCUCACUCCAAGUGACUUAACGUUCAUCCUGCCGAGUCAUAAUAUCAUGUUGUUGGGACUUGAUGGAUAUAAACUACAGCCUGAAGAUUUCACCACAGCAGGUUGCAUCUCGAUACACGCGUUGGCUGCAGAGGGAAUUCAACGAUCCGCCACCAGAGGGGGUUAUAGCAUGUCUUUGAACGAGUGCAACGCACGCGAGUACGAUGCACAAAAGAUUGCUUCGCUGCGGGCCCACCUGCUGCUCGAUGCAAACCGCAUGCCGUUCUUGCUGGCAUCGAUGCAGCUUGCCCGAGAAUGCGUACUACUACUAUGAAUCAGUGCCACGAAAACCGGUGCAUAAGGGGUUUUCAGUGCAGUAUACAAUAUACGUGUGUACACGAGUGAGUGUGCAACGGAGAUGAAAAAAACACGAGAAUACUUCUUUCUCUUGGGAACGCACGGUCCUCUCGCUACUAUACUUACUACGUAUCUGAGGUGACGUAACGCGUACGUAGAAACAUGUGCUCAUCGCAGCAACAUUUUCCGACCUUCAAUGUCUUCUUCACGCGCACAAGUCGAUGCAUGUCCCAUGCGAGAGCCCGCGUGCAAUCACAAUGUGGGCACUGGGGCUAUGAUGCAUCGAAAUAACAGAGAAAAGGCUUUUGCGGUGAGAUGAACCACCUGCCGACAGAUGUUUGGAUCUAACGAGCAGAGGAAAGAAAAAGACAGAUAGAACUACAGGAAUCAACGAAGCGAAUAAAGAAAUGCGUUGUUUUUGGGAUCCUCUACGUUCAACGACUCCUUAUCCCGGAUCCUUGAUAUUUCUUGCCUUCUACUUUAACCCUCUUCUUGCAAGCCACUCUUUUUCAUGUACACUACACAAUACUUAAUCGUGUAACGCACAAACCCUCUGGCCCAUCUGUAUGUAAUCGAGCGAGCAGUGGAAUCAUAUGAUUGGCGCCACCUGUCGGUAUUUUUUUAUAUUAUAAUCCCAUACACCGCUCGUUGACGUAAGAUCCAACCGAAACUACAAGUUUGUAACUGUUUCAAACAAUUGUAUUAUGUAAAAGAACUCAGAAAAAAAAACAUUUGCGCUUUAGCAGAACUUUGUUCCCAAAAUACGACCAUGUGAAAAAUUAUUGAGACUGUGACUAUGCAGUGAAAAUGCUUCGGUUCGCCUUCCAUUAUGCAGCGACUUUUCAUAUGCUCUCUGCAAUCCUUAACAAUGUAUGAAAAGUGUGAAGUACAAUAUAGCAAUGCGCUCAGUAA
rnacentral:lncRNA from 1 species